CGUCCUCCUUUCUGGAUGGCAACCUGGGCAGGGCUUCGAAUUCUUCAGAACUUAAUUUACUAGGGAAAAAACCAUGUACUAUGUGAUUUAGCUAGCAUGAAAUCACGCCUAUGGUUGAUUCUUCUUCACGUGAAAACCGAACCAUGUACUUGAGAUCGUACCAGACAUUGUAUUCUUAUUAAGUCACAUCCAUCAAUCAUAGUAUGCUGUCUGAAAGCUAGGACCUCCUGGUUUUGGC
rnacentral:lncRNA from 1 species